rnacentral:rRNA from 1 species
AAUUAGGGUUCGAUUCCGGAGAGGGAGCCUGAGAAACGGCUACCACAUCCAAGGAAGGCAGCAGGCGCGCAAAUUACCCAAUCCCGAUACGGGGAGGUAGUGACAAUAAAUAACAAUACAGGGCUCUUAUGGGUCUUGUAAUUGGAAUGAGUACAAUUUAAAUCCCUUAACGAGGAACAGUUGGAGGGCAAGUCUGGUACCAGCAGCCGCGGUAAUUCCAGCUCCAAUAGCGUAUAUUAAAGUUGUUGCAGUUAAAAAGCUCGUAGUUGAAUUUCGGGGUUCUACCGUUGGUCGGGCAAUUGUCUGUACUGGCGUGUAGAAUUUCUACCUUCUGGGGAACCAUUAUGUUAUUAAUUUAGCGUGGUGGGAAACCAGGACCUUUACCUUGAAAAAAUUAGAGUGUUCAAAGCAGGCUUACGUCUGAAUACAUUAGCAUGGAAUAAUAAAAUAGGACGGUGGUCCUGUUUUGUUGGUUUCUGAAUCACCGUAAUGAUUAAUAGGGAUGGUUGGGGGCAUUAGUAUUCGAUUGUCAGAGGUGAAAUUCUUGGAUUUAUUGAAGACUAACUUCUGCGAAAGCAUUUGCCAAGGAUGGUUUCAUUAAUCAAGAACGAAAGUUAGGGGAUCGAAGACGAUCAGAUACCGUCGUAGUCUUAACCAUAAACUAUGCCGACUAGGGAUCGGACGAUGUUA